GACGAACGCUGGCGGCGUGCUUAACACAUGCCAGUCGAACGGAAAGGCCCUGCUUUUGUGGGGUGCUCGAGUGGCGAACGGGUGAGUAACACGUGAGUAACCUGCCCUUGACUUUGGGAUAACUUCAGGAAACUGGGGCUAAUACCGGAUAGGAGCUCCUGCUGCAUGGUGGGGGUUGGAAAGUUUCGGCGGUUGGGGAUGGACUCGCGGCUUAUCAGCUAGUUGGUGGGGUAGUGGCAUACCAAGGCUGUGACGGGUAGGCGGCCUGGGAGGGUGGCCGGGGACAUGGGGACUGAGGGACGCAGCAGAAGGCAACGGGAGGCAGCGGUGGGGAAUAUGACGCAGCGGGGGGGCGCGUGAUGCAGCAGCGCCGCGUGCGGGAUGACGUCCUACGGGUUGUAAACCGCUUUCGCCUGUGACGAGGCGUGAGUGACGGUAAUGGGUAAAGAAGCACCGGCUAACUACGUG
rnacentral:rRNA from 1 species